ACAUCCAGAGAACUUAGCAGAGAUGCUUUGGUGCCUUCGGGAACUCUGAGACAGGUGCUGCAUGGCUGUCGUCAGCUCGUGUUGUGAAAUGUUGGGUUAAGUCCCGNAACGAGCGCAACCCCUAUCCUUUGUUGCCAGCGAUUCGGUCGGGAACUCAAAGGAGACUGCCGGUGAUAAACCGGAGGAAGGUGGGGAUGACGUCAAGUCAUCAUGGCCCUUACGAGUAGGGCUACACACGUGCUACAAUGGCGCAUACAAAGAGAAGCGACCUCGCGAGAGCAAGCGGACCUCAUAAAGUGCGUCGUAGUCCGGAUUGGAGUCUGCAACUCGACUCCAUGAAGUCGGAAUCGCUAGUAAUCGUAGAUCAGAAUGCUACGGUGAAUACGUUCCCGGGCCUUGUACACACCGCCCGUCACACCAUGGGAGUGGGUUGCAAAAGAAGUAGAUAGCUUAACCUUCGGGAGGGCGUUUACCACUUUGUGAUUCAUGACUGGGGUGAAGUCGUAACAAGGUAAGCGUACGUGU
rnacentral:rRNA from 1 species